CUACGGGGUGCUGCAGUGGGGAAUAUUGGACAAUGGGGGAAACCCUGAUCCAGCAAUGCCGCGUGUGUGAAGAAGGCCUGCGGGUUGUAAAGCACUUUCGGUUGGGAGGACUGCUUCUAGCACUAAUAUUGUUGGAAGUUGACGUUACCUUCAGAAGAAGCACCGGCUAACUCCGUGCCAGCAGCCGCGGUAAUACGGAGGGUGCAAGCGUGAAUCGGAAUUACUGGGCGUAAAGCGCGCGUAUGCGGCUAGAUCAGUCGGGUGUGAAAGCCCCGGGCUUAACCUGGGAACUGCAUCCGAUACUGUCUAGCUUGAGUACAGGAGAGGAGAGUGGAAUUCCACAUGUAGCGGUGAAAUGCGUAGAUAUGUGGAGGAACACCAAUGGCGAAGGCAGCUCUCUGGCCUGAUACUGACGCUGAGGUGCGAAAGCGUGGGGAGCAAACAGGAUUAGAUACCCCUGUAGUC
rnacentral:rRNA from 1 species